GCCCCGGAACCGAGAAGGAAAUGAAGGUGGGGCCAAGAGACGGAAGCAGGAGAAAACUUGUUGGUACCCGAGAGCGCGGGCAUUGACUGGAACCCGAGAUACGGCGUCCACGGCACCUCGGGGCAGGGGCGCAGGCUUCGGAGACACCGUGGACUUGGGACUUAGAAGCGAGGUCCCUUCUUCCUGCUGGAUGAGCCUGGAGUGUGCUACCCGGGGCAGAGCUGGGGGGCAGGCGCCCUGGGAAAGGUGAGGACACGGUGAGGAGCUGGAAGACUGUGAACCAGACUUGGAACCUGCCAGAGCCUUGAUGCAGACGUCGCAGCCCCAGAACAAUAACUCAGCCUAGCCUAUGGUCCCGCCCACAAGAUGGCCCCUCCCAUCUCGAGUCCUGCCCAUCUCCUGGCUUCUCCAAAAAGAUGGCUCCUCCUAAUCCAUGGUUUCUCCCAGAAGAUGGCUUCUCCUGUAACAGGCAGAUCUUGAAAACAAAGCAUAUGUCCAUCAACAGUUGAUUAAGAAGAAAGAUGAAGCCCAAGACAUGAAAAAAACCACAAGAGGGAAGAAACCUGGGUCCCUGAAUGACUACAUGGAGCAGAAACACCCACCAUUCCCCGCUGCACUAGAGUGUAAACAAAAACCCAACCUCAUUGUUUUAAUCCAGUGAGAUCAUACAGCCCCCAAUAACUGACUUAUGUCAUAUGAUCUCCAUGUCCAAAAUGGUAUUUUAUUCAGAGUCACAUUAGUGUCAAAAGUAUCAAAGAUGCCCUAAAGGAAAGUUAACACUCUCUCAGAUGCAGACUGGACCUAAAAGGUGUUCUCUAGAGUCAGCAUGAUGUUGAUUUAGUUACUUUUUUUUAAUCCAGAGAUUUUAUACAAAAUAUGGAUUUCUAGUGUUCUGUGAAAAGUUUGGCACUAUUGGGAUCAUAUGACAGGCGGUGAGUAGCCAGUGCCCUGUAAUACACUAAAUUUCCCAUUUACCUCCCCAGGGUAACCUUCACUCAAUUCAGUUUGCUUUUAUGUUCUGACUUCUGACUUUGCCACAGAGGGACAACGAAUAACAAGUAAUUUGGAGCUUUAUACUCUUGCAAUUCGAUAAUUAUUCUUGUGAUAAUCAAAAUUCUAUUCUACCUUUGAAAAGGAGUCACAUGUUUCUUAACUUUAAGACAUAGGAGCUUCAUUCAUCUUCUUUCCAUGUCUGCAUUUCUGAAUGUUGUCUCACUCAAAAGCAGAGAUGAUUUAACCAUUUGAUUUUUUUCCCUAAAAGAAAUUUUGCUGAAAUCCAAGACCAUAACUCUUCUUUCUUUUUUUCUCUUUGUGGUAAGACAGAA
rnacentral:lncRNA from 1 species